AGUAUAAUACCUGGACCAUAUGAUAAGAGUAUUUUUAGUUUUAUGAGCAACUGCCAAACUGUCUUUCAAAGUGGCUGUACCAUAUUGUAUCCUCACAAAAAAU
rnacentral:pre_miRNA from 1 species